rfam:Gasterosteus aculeatus cont1.009817, whole genome shotgun sequence.
GUUGUUGUGGCCGAGAGGUUAAGGCGAUGGACUUGAAAUCCAUUGGGGUCUCCCCGCGCAGGUUCGAGUCCUGCCAGCAACA